UGGAGCACUAUAAAUGGGGUAGGAUGGGGAUCAGGGAAUGCAUGGCAUGUGCAGACUGCAUGUUACAUGUAUCCUCCCCAGAAGUUUGACAUGAGGAGCCAGCGGUUCUCGCCACUGAUUACUGAUGAGGAUUCCCAUCAUCUACACCAGCAGGACCACUGCUACACUAAUGCAUCUUCACUACAAAAACUCCAAGUCUUUUCUCUUUUUUUUCCUACUACCUAUGAAUCACGUACAAUGCCUUAAACAAGAUGAACUGAUUCUUGGGAGCCUUGCAACAGACGAACCAAGCGGACCAUCUGCACCUAACAGAGAUGGGACGAGCAGACCCCCCGGCGUGACCAGCAGGCAUCCUGCACAGUGCAGCUCCUGGCGAUAUGGGAAUGAGACGGAGGAGCACACUGAGGGCACAGUGCCCCCCCGUGUCGGUCCCUGGCGAUGCAGCAACUACCUACCGGUCGCCAUCGCACAACCAACCGUCGCCAGUGCCCUCCCGCCUCAACCCGCAGGGCGUGCCUGGAAGCGAUCGCCAUGGAUUGCUCUGGAUGGGUGGAGCUCCCCUGCCUUCCUUUAAUCAAUCAUGCAUGAAUCCUCCCAUCCAGCUCUUUUUAUUUGAUGAAACGUGGAAUUUCUUUCUCGAUUCCUAGAAAAACUGAAGGCCUUAGAGCACGGGCGUUCAUGUGUCACAGACAAGCACGGGCGUUCAUGUGUCACAGACAAGGACAUACGACUAACCAAAAAAACAAUCACAUUAGCAUUUCCUUUCUCUCAUGUUUUAACUCUGGACAGUGAACUUGGACUAUGGGCGAUAAACACAAUAUUAAUUCUGUGUAUCUGCCAGGAAAUAUGCUAUGGUUCAGAGCAAAAAUUGAGUGGAGACCGAGACAGAUUCUUUUCAAGAAAACCAAGCUACAGAAUGUCCGAUGAAACUUCCCAGCAGCAAGGAAGAAUACAACCUAACAUUUCAGUAAAAAUUCGAUCUUGCCUGAUGAAAUUGCUUGUGUCAGGGUAGACCAGGCACAUUACAUACACCACAGUC